rnacentral:lncRNA from 1 species
UUUUCUAUUAUUUACAUACGACGUAAUUCUUACAUGUACAGUAAUACCUCCUUUUCUCUAAAAUACCAGUUUCAAUAUUCUACAAUGGAAGCCACGUUGGCCUCUUUUUUAUUCUUUGUGUUUCUGAUUAUUUAACAUCUUGUCUGUCAAGCUUUCUAUCUAUGAUGAGUUUAUUUCCAAUAUGACAAGAAACUUAAAUAGUUAGUCACUUGAUUUGAUGUCAGCACCAUUUUUGGCAAAAUUCAAUAUAGGAAAGAAACAAAAUAGUAAAAAAGUAUUUGAAUUUGUUCAGCAAACAUGUAUAAAUAAGGACAUUGGUAAGAGAACAUUCACAUUAGAUUACGCCCUAACUUAUCAUCUAAACAAACAUUAUCUUGUUUAAUUUAAAUAUUUUUUUGCUAAUUUUGUCCAAGUAGCUGUAUUGAAAGCACUAAUACCUACUUAAUUUACCGCCAACUAUGGGACUUCAGCUCUUUUAUGGUAUUAAGAAUUGUACUAUGUCCAGAUGGGAAGACAUCACUAUCGCUAGGUCUCUGUCCGACGCACCUGAGCACAAUCUAAAUAUAUGGAAACUGACUAUGUUUCUUAUGUUGCUAUUUUGAACUGUUUGAGUGGGUGUUUUAGUAUAUCAAAUCUAAAAACAUCGUCCUUGUCUGCGUCACAUUAAGUCAAUCUGCAAUUCUUUGAAACUUUAAUCCACAGUUCUUAGAAAAUAGCAUUACAGAACUCAACUUAAUUCGCACAGAUUCUACAAGACAUGAUGCUGUGUCCCUGAUAAAAUGUUGUAUAAUAAAUUACAGAAAAGCUAAAAGCAUCAAUGAUUUGAUACAUUGUAAUUAUAUAUUAAAAAUACAUGUGUUUUUUGUCUUUUAUCUCAGAUUAAUAAUGCAAAUUAAACAGUCAGAUAACAACUUAUGAAUUUAUAACUACGUGAGGGC